GGAGCUAACGCGUUAAGUCGACCGCCUGGGGAGUACGGCCGCAAGGUUAAAACUCAAAUGAAUUGACGGGGGCCCGCACAAGCGGUGGAGCAUGUGGUUUAAUUNGAUGCAACGCGAAGAACCUUACCUACUUUUGACAUCCAGAGAACUUUCCAGAGAUGGAUUGGUGCCUUCGGGAACUNUGAGACAGGUGCUGCAUGGCUGUCGUCAGCUCGUGUUGUGAAAUGUUGGGUUAAGUCCCGCAACGAGCGCAACCCUUAUCCUUUGUUGCCAGCGGUCCGGCCGGGAACUCAAAGGAGACUGCCAGUGAUAAACUGGAGGAAGGUGGGGAUGACGUCAAGUCAUCAUGGCCCUUACGAGUAGGGCUACACACGUGCUACAAUGGCGCAUACAAAGAGAAGCGACCUCGCGAGAGCAAGCGGACCUCAUAAAGUGCGUCGUAGUCCGGAUUGGAGUCUGCAACUCGACUCCAUGAAGUCGGAAUCGCUAGUAAUCGUAGAUCAGAAUGCUACGGUGAAUACGUUCCCGG
rnacentral:rRNA from 1 species